UUCGGCAUUGCCAAGCGGUUAAGGCAUGAGACUUUGACUCUCAUAGCGCUGGUUCGAAUCCGGCUGCCGGAG
rnacentral:tRNA from 1 species